rnacentral:rRNA from 1 species
UACGUAGGGUGCAAGCGUUGUCCGGAAUUACUGGGCGUAAAGCGCACGUAGGCGGCUUUCUAAGUCAGGGGUGAAAUCCUGGAGCUCAACUCCAGAACUGCCUUUGAUACUGGAGAGCUUGAGUCCGGAAGAGGUGAGUGGAACUCCGAGUGUAGAGGUGAAAUUCGUAGAUAUUCGGAAGAACACCAGUGGCGAAGGCGGCUCACUGGUCCGGUACUGACGCUGAGGUGCGAAAGCGUGGGGAGCAAACAGG